CAGUAGCCGCGGUAAUACGAAGGGUGCAAGCGUUAAUCGGAAUUACUGGGCGUAAAGCGUGCGUAGGCGGUUUGUUAAGUCUGUUGGGAAAUCCCCGGGCUCAACCUGGGAAUGGCAAUGGAUACUGGCAAGCUAGAGUGUGUCAGAGGAUGGUGGAAUUCCCGGUGUAGCGGUGAAAUGCGUAGAGAUCGGGAGGAACAUCAGUGGCGAAGGCGGCCAUCUGGGACAACACUGACGCUGAGGCACGAAAGCGUGGGGAGCAAACAGGAUUAGAUACCCCAGUAGUCCCUGUCUCUUAUAC
rnacentral:rRNA from 1 species